rnacentral:rRNA from 1 species
GAUGAACGCUAGCGGGAGGCUUAACACAUGCAAGUCGAGGGGCAUCACGAGGUAGCAAUACUUUGGUGGCGACCGGCGCACGGGUGAGUAACGCGUAUGCAACCUACCCUGUACAGGGGGAUAGCCCGGAGAAAUUCGGAUUAAUACCCCAUAAUGAUAUUUUAUGGCAUCAUAAAAUAUUUAAAGCUCAGGCGGUACGGGAUGGGCAUGCGUAACAUUAGUUAGUUGGUAGGGUAAUGGCCUACCAAGGCGACGAUGUUUAGGGGUCCUGGGAGGGUGAUCCCCCACACUGGUACUGAGACACGGACCAGAUUCCUACGGGAGGCAGCAGUGAUGGAUAUUGGUCAAUGGGCGCGAGCCUGAACCAGCCAUCCCGCGUGGAGGAAGACUGCCCUAUGGGUUGUAAACUUCUUUGCCAGGGGAAUAAAAUCUCGAACGAGUUCGGGACUGAAGGUACCCUGGGAAUAAGCAUCGGCUAACUCCGUGCCAGCCGCCGCCGUAA